AUAUCAUAAAAAGUUAUUUCGUAACCCCUUUCUACAAAAUUCAUGAUUCCGGGUCAAGUUUAGGUACAAUUUUCUACUAAGAAUAAAGUAAUUUAAUAUUGAUUUAUUUUUUGUAAAUAGGCAAACAUAGUCAAGAUUAAAUGUGAGGAAAAAAAAUACAGUAUUGUGCUAUGAAUAAGGUUAGAAAAAAUAAAAACAAAACCAAUUUUUUUCACAUAUUUUGCUACUAACGAUGAGUCUUAACAGCUUGAAAUAGGGGUUAUUUUAUUUGUAUUCCUUCCGACCCACGAUUGUGCGAAAGCCUCAUUCUGAGUCAGUCUGCGCUCGGCCGCCGUCGUGAGAGGACACUGUAUCGCUCGUUUCCAGCUGCUCGUGUUGAAAAAGAUCGCUGUAUAAAUACAAAAUAUUCGACUAACCAAAUUUGAUCCUUCUAAGAUGCCGAGAAGUCGAACGUUUGGCAAAAGCUCUCGUAAACAAGUGCUUUCCAGAAAAAAUGCAUUGGAAAAUAUAAGACGACUUCGAGAAGUGAGUCGCAAUUCUAGUGACAUAAGUGAGGUGCAUUCAGAAGAAACAGAUUGUAGUACUUCCAAUAACAAUGACUUGGAGACAUCUUACACCGCUGUGGAUGAAGAAAAAGUAACCUAUCAGAUUUCAGGAAGAAGGCUUAUUGAAAUGGCUUAUUUUAUGGAGCAAUUACAAGGAAUCAGCAAUCAUAAGUCUAUGUUUAAUUGUAAUUUGAGUACAAUUGAACUAUUGAGUGAAAAAAGGUCUGGGCUUCACUCGACCUUUUCAAUUAAAUGCAAAAUGUGUGGUGCUGAAUUCACGUUAGAAUCAUCCAAAAAAACUGAAAAUAAAAUGGACGUGAAUGAAGAAAUUGUCGCUGGUAUAAUGACGAUUGGUGCUGGGGUUACACAGCUUAAUACUGUUUUGUGUCAUGUAAAUAUGCCACCAAUGUCAGUACGAUUGUACCAAGCUAAGCAUGACAUAAUAAGUCGGUGGUGGAAAAAGGCUGCGCAGCACUACAUGAUCGAGGCGGGUAAAGAGGAGAAAGACAAUGCUUUAGCUAUUGGAAGUGUAAAUACAGAUGGGUUAGCUAUGAUACCUGUAUCGGGUGAUGCAUGUUGGUCCAAGCGCUCUUAUGGAACCAAUUACAGUGCUUCCUCCGGUGUUGGUGCAAUCGUAGGCAUGCACUCAAAAAAAGUAU